UACGUAGGGGGCAAGCGUUGUCCGGAUUUAUUGGGCGUAAAGAGCGUGUAGGCGGCCAGGUAGGUGGGUUGUGAAAACUGGAGGCUCAACCUUCAGACGUCGACCCAAACCCCUGGCUAGAGUCCGGAAGAGGAGAGUGGAAUUCCUGGUGUAGCGGUGAAAUGCGCAGAUAUCAGGAGGAACACCCGGUGGCGAAGGCGGGUCUCUGGGCG
rnacentral:rRNA from 1 species